UCCUCUUCUUCUUUGCGGCCGUACAUACCCCCAUUCCUCUCCUCAGAAAAGCCCUUACCCUCUCCCAUCUCCCUCUCUCUUGCACUCUCCAUCUUCACCCUCCUCCCUGCCCCUUUCUCCUCGCCCCUGCAGCCGCCUGGCACACCGUUCUCCUCCUCCGGCGCCGCUGCUGUCCUUUCCUCCUCCUCCGGCGCCGCUGCCGGCACCACCUCUGUGAGAAUCACGCCUGAAGAUGGGAAGGAGUAGGUGUAGGAACGUGAGCGAUCGCCGCAGCGGCGGUCGCUCCGGACGCUAGUGGUGGGGUAUUGAACAAGGAGGCGAUGGAUGCGGGGGUUUGGUAUACGCUGGAAUAGGUGCCAAAACUUCAUCACAAAAUUAUUCUGAUUGCUUUCAUUUCUUAAGCAGUUAAUGUGUUGGGAACAAGAAAUGUGGACUGCAUUGUUUCCUGCUCAAUUCUUUACUUUCAUGCACUAAGGUAUUCCUGUAUUGCUCAAUUCCUAGCUCUUUAAUCUUAAAACAUGCUCCUGGCUUAUUCUGGUUGUUUUGUAUUACAUUGACCCAAAUUGUUCCCCCGGAUUCUAAUUGUUCAAAACAAUCAGAAUAAGCAUUCAUUCUCUUUUGCUCU